rnacentral:rRNA from 1 species
CUGGUUCCCUCCGAAGUUUCCCCCAGGAAAGCUGAUGUCGUCGUCGUCGUCGUAACUGGAGUUGCUGCUUUGCGGCAGCAGCUGCUAGUAGACAGUUUUGUCUGGUAAAGCGAAUGAUUAGAGGCAUUGGGGACCAAUUGUCCUCGACCUAUUCUCAAACUUUAAAUGGGCAAUGAGCCCGCUCACUUCUUGCGAGCACUCUGUUGGGGCGGCUGAGUGUCGGGCGCAAGUGCAGCGGCGUCAAGUGGGCCAUUUUUGGUAAGCAGAACUGGCGAUGUGGGAUGAACCAAACGUUGAGCUAGGGUGCCGAAAGUACCGCUCAUGAGAUACCAUGAAAGGCGUCAGUCGAUAUUGACAGCAGGACGGUGGCCGCAGAAGUAGGAAUCCGCUAAGGAGUGUGUAAAAACUCACCUGCCGAAUCGACUGGCCCUGAAAAUGGAUGGCGCUAGAGACGCAUAUCCAUGCUCGACCGUCAAGGCCAAAAACGCAGAAUAGCAGCAACGAUGAUCAAAAGGGCUUGACGUGUAGAAGGGCGUAGGCGGUGGCGUGGAAGUCUUGACCGUGAGGUGGGGCGGAGCCGCCGUCAGUGCAGAUCUUGGUGGUAGUAGCAAGUAUUCAAAUGAGAGCAUUGAAGACUGAAGUGGAGAAAGGUUCCAUGUGAACAACAUUUGAACAUGGAUCAGCCGAUCCUAAGAGAACGUGAAAGCUCGUGAUUAAGUGCACUGCAUUGCGCAGCGCGAUCGAAAGGGAAUCGGGUUAAUAUUCCCGAGCCAGGAUACGGCUUAUGUCUGACAGUUCGUCAGCACCGCAAGGUGUGCGUUUUGCGCAGACGGCGUCGGACAUGAGUGGUGACACACGCAAGCCCAAAGAAUAACUACGCGAAGUCCGGAGAAGAGUUUUCUCUUCUUUGUAAGGACCCUUAUCCCUGGAAUCAGAUUGUCUGGCGAUAGGGUACGGGGUCCGUAAUGCAGCGCGAUUCCUGCGAUGUACCGUGCGCUUCGCGUGGCGCGUGAAAAUUUGGGUGCGAGAACGUUAAGGCCGUACCUGUUCGUACUGAUUUCCGCAGCAGGUCUCCAAGGUUAACAGCCUCUAGUCCAUAGGGCAAAGUAGGCAAGGGAAGUCGGCAAAUUAGAUCCGUAACUUCGGAAAAAGGAUUGGCUCUAAAAGCUGAGCUGGUCGGGCUGUCGCAAGAAGCAGUUCUGUUGACUCUUGGCUCUGUCUCAGUGAUCGCACGCCCGCAAGGGCGCCGAUUUCGAGGACGGACUUUGAUGCAGCGUCCAGUGGGCGGUGAUGGCUAUGCCGCGCAUUGGCGUGUAAAUCCCUCGCGGGAUUGAAACGCUUUUGCGCGGAUCCGACCAGCGUUAGACAGCUGGCCUAGAACUGGUAUGGACGAGGGGAAUCCAACUGUUUAAUUAAAACAAAGCAUUGCGAUAGCUGUAGCCGGUGUUGACGCAAUGUGAUUUCUGCCCAGUGCUCUGAAUGUUAAAGUGAAGAAACUCAUUAAAGCGCGAGUUAACGGCAGAUGUAACUAUGACUUUUUUAAGGUAGCCAAAUGCCUCGUCAUCUAAUUAGUGACGUGCAUGAAUGGGUUAUUGAGAUUCCUACUGUCCCUGUCUGCAGCCCAGCGAAACCACA